rnacentral:rRNA from 1 species
AUACAUGCAAGUCGAACGCUUCUUUUCCCACCGGAGCUUGCUCCACCGGGAAAAGAGGAGUGGCGAACGGGUGAGUAACACGUGGGUAACCUGCCCAUCAGAAGGGGAUAACACUUGGAAACAGGUGCUAAUACCGUAUAACAAUCGAAACCGCAUGGUUUCGUUUUGAAAGGCGCUUUACGGUGCCGCUGAUGGAUGGACCCGCGGUGCAUUAGCUAGUUGGUGAGGUAACGGCUCACCAAGGCCACGAUGCAUAGCCGACCUGAGAGGGUGAUCGGCCACAUUGGGACUGAGACACGGCCCAAACUCCUACGGGAGGCAGCAGUAGGGAAUCUUCGGCAAUGGACGAAAGUCUGACCGAGCAACGCCGCGUGAGUGAAGAAGGUUUUCGGAUCGUAAAACUCUGUUGUUAGAGAAGAACAAGGGUGAGAGUAACUGUUCACCCCUUGACGGUAUCUAACCAGAAAGCCACGGCUAACUACGUGCCAGCAGCCGCGGUAAUACGUAGGUGGCAAGCGUUGUCCGGAUUUAUUGGGCGUAAAGCGAGCGCAGGCGGUUUCUUAAGUCUGAUGUGAAAGCCCCCGGCUCAACCGGGGAGGGUCAUUGGAAACUGGGAGACUUGAGUGCAGAAGAGGAGAGUGGAAUUCCAUGUGUAGCGGUGAAAUGCGUAGAUAUAUGGAGGAACACCAGUGGCGAAGGCGGCUCUCUGGUCUGUAACUGACGCUGAG